rnacentral:rRNA from 1 species
UACGUAGGGUGCAAGCGUUAAUCGGAAUUACUGGGCGUAAAGGGCGCGUAGGCGGCCUUCUAAGUCGAACGUGAAAUCCCCCGGGCUCAACCCGGGGAACUGCGUCCGAUACUGGAAGGCUUGAAUCCGGGAGAGGGAUGCGGAAUUCCAGGUGUAGCGGUGAAAUGCGUAGAUAUCUGGAGGAACACCGGUGGCGAAGGCGGCAUCCUGGACCGGCAUUGACGCUGAGGCGCGGAAAGCCAGGGGAGCAAACGGG